rnacentral:tRNA from 12 species
GGGGCCAUAACUCAGUUGGUAGAGUGCCUGCUUUGCAAGCAGGAUGUCGUCGGUUCGACUCCGUCUGGCUCCACCA